ensembl:lncRNA
GUCUUUGUAGGACAGUAGUUCAGGUGGCUGUUUGUCUUUGUAGGACAGUAGUUCAGGUGGCUGUUUGUCUUUGUAGGACAGUAGUUCAGGUGGCUGUUUGUCUUUGUAGGACAGUAGUUCAGGUGGCUGUUUGUGUAGAUGCUGUUUGUCUCUGUAGGACAGUAGUUCAGGUUGGUGUUUGUCUCUGUAGGACAGUAAAUCAGGUUGGUGUUUGUCUCUGUAGGACAGUAGUUCAGGUGGCUGUUUGUGUAGAUGCUGUUUGUCUCUGUAGGACAGUAGUUCAGGUUGGUGUUUGUCUCUGUAGGACAGUAGAUCAGGUGGCUGUUUGUGUAGAUGCUGUUUGUCUUUGUAGGACAGUAGUUCAGGUGGCUGUUUGUGUAGAUGCUGUUUGUCUUUGUAGGACAGUAGUUCAGGUGGCUGUUUGUGUAGAUGCUGUUUGUCUUUGUAGGACAGUAGUUCAGGUGGCUGCCCUUGCACUUAGUCUGCCUCCUGCCCCCCCAUCGUCAUGGUUACACCUUCCUGAAAACAAUGACUCCAUACUUUGCUGAAACCUGUUCUGCCAGUUCAUGUCCUUCAAGACUAGAAUGUUCCAAUGUGGUUAGCCAAAGAGAUGACAAGAUAGUUCACACAUGCAUCUUUCAGGGUAACUGUCAAACAGACAUGUCACAUUUCUGGUUGGUCCAUAACUAGUUUCCUGCUUGUAGC